UUGUAUUUUUCGUCUUUUUUCUUUUUAGGGCCACACCUGUGGCAUAUGGAGGUUCUCAUGCCAGGGGUCGAAUCGGACCCUUACACCACAACCACAGCAACAUGGAACCGAGGCGUGUCUACAGCCCAUACCACAGCUCACCACAACACCAGAUCCUUAACCCACUGAGUGAGGCCAGGGAUCAAAUCUGCAUCCUCAUGGAUACUAGUUGAGUUCAUUAACCACUUAGCCAUGAUGGGAACUCCCAUAUUAUAUAUCAGCUAUAUAUAUUAUACACACACACAAACACAUACAUACACACAUAUAUAUAUGGUGAGGGAGAUUUAUUAUAAGAAAUUGGAUCAUUUGCAGGUUAGCCAGUGGUGCAAGAGCCCCAGGGAGAGCUGAUGUUCCCAUUCAAAGGCCUUCAGAAAGAGUCAGUAUUGUAGAUGAUCCAAAGUCUAUCACUGGAGAGUUCUCACUGAUUCAAGGGAGGGUUGGUCUUUUUGCUCUAUUCAGACCUUCAAUUAUUAGUUGAGGCCCACCUCCUUAUGAAGAGCAAUCUUCUUCACCCAAGUCCACUGACUUCAGUGUCAAUUUCAUGCAAAAAUGCCCUCCCAGCUACCUUGAAUUACAUCUCACCAACUAUCUGGGUACUUCAUAGUCCAGCCAGGUUGAUACAUACAUUUAACCACCACAAUGUGUAUGUCUUGAUUUGUUUAACCAAAUUUUAUGAGUGAAUAUUUUUAGGUGAUUUUUAUUUUUUAUAACCUUUUUUUUUUUUUUUUUUUUGACCAUGCCCCUGGCAUGCAGAAGUUCUCAGACCAGGGAUUAAACCUACACCACGGCAGUGACAAUGCCAGAUCCUUAACCCAAUUUACCGCCAGAGAGCUUCUAUUUAGGUGAUUUUUAAAUAAAUGGAACUUUACAAUCAGUCAUCCCUCCUUCACCCACUGACAUUUUAUCACACAACCUUUCCUUCUGAGAAUGGAGAAAUAGAGCUUUUUUAAGCACAGCAACCUAAGACUUUCACUGUCAGCUAGAGUUGGUGUGUCACCAGAAAUGUUUCCUACUCUCAUCCCAUGUGUUUCUAAUGAACUGAUAUGAAAUUAUUGUCUUUCCCUCCCUCCUACUCCUCUGUUACUCUAAGAUGAUACCGCAUAUGGGCCACCACAGUCUUCAUCAUACCCUUCUGCUAGGGAUCUCUUGUCAACACCUCCUGCUUUAAAUGUAGGAGAUACAACCUAUCAAGAUGCAAUGCCUAACUGUCUGAUCAUCCCUCCCCUACUUCUAAGGUCUAUUUUUCCCCCUGAUUCUUGCUUUGAAUUUUUUUUUUGGCCACACCCAUGUCAUGUAGAAGUUCCUGGGCCAGGGAUCAAACCCAUGCCACAGCAGCAACCCAAGCUACUGCAGUGACAAUGCCAGAUCCUUACCCACUGCAUCACAAGUGUACUCCAAAUUAAUAUUUUUUAAAGUGAAAAUGAGGGCAUUGGAGGUAAGAGGCACUCUUGAGACAUAACAAUGUUCAAACAUCUCAAAAAUUUGCACAUAUUAGGAGAAAGAGUAGGGGAGGUCUAAUGGUCAUGUUAUUUUUUAUUAUUUAAUUUUGAUUAUUUCAUCAAGGUGAAACCAUGGGAGAUGUACCAAUCAUCUUUCUUACUCUUGCACUGUUACUCACCCACCUCCCAAAUUCUCUUUUGUGAAGAAAAGACUACUUAUGUCAUGAGGUGCACUUCAGAUAUGUCUAUGGCUGUGUUUUAAUUUCUAUUCCAGCCCAACUGACCUCAUUGUUAGAAUAAAUUCUGUCCAAACUCUGGAAUAAGCUUUCCUUUCAGUGUGUUGGGGAGAUUUUCAUCUUUAUUCAUAUUUUCAUAAGUAGAGAAGUUGAGAAAGACCAUUUCUGAACCUAUACAUCAGACACAAUUUUAACCACUGGCAUAUGUUUUGUUUGUUUGGUUGGUUGGUUUUUGUUUUGUUUGCUUUCUAGGGCUGCACUUGCAGCACAUGGGAGUUUCCAGGUUAGGGGUCAAAUCAGAAUUGUAGCUGCCAGCCUACACCCCAGCCACAGCAACGCAGGAUCUGAGCCAUGUCUGCCACCUACACCACAGCUCACAGCAACUCUGGAUCCUUAACCCACUGAAAGAGGCCAGGGAUCAAACCCAUAUCCUCAUGGAGCCUAGUCAGGGAGGAUCCUAAGCCAUGAUGGGAACUCCCCACUGACAUAUGUUUUAAAUAGGAAUUCAUGAUGCUGUUAUCUUGAGCUGUAUGUCCGCUGCAAUCCAGGAAGGCCAGUGACCUAACAAAUUGAAGUGACUCGAUAAAGUUAUUUCUUAAUGCUCUAUUUUAGAUUUUACAUUUGCAACUGUAGCUAAUUGGAUCCAACGCGAAAUCUAAUUAAAACCUCAUUGUACCAUCUGUGUUCUUUGGUUAAAGGACAUGUACUAUUAAACAAGUGCUGAAAAGGAGGUAUUGAGUUACUUAAAAUUCAGUUUCUUCCAUUCUCAAAAACUGAAUGGUAGCAGAGUGUUAUACUCCAUGGUUGUAUCCAGUCUUCAAAAACUCCCCAAAGCCAUAGCUAAUUUUCCUAUUAAUUACAGACUUGAGAUGGCACCAUCAAAUUCAAUCUCACAAUUUCAGCAACGAAGAAGAGAGAGAAAAAAAUAUAUACGUGCGCGCGCGCACACACACACACACACACACACACACACAGAGGAAAAAAAGAACCUUGGUAAUGCACACACAGCAGUUUUCCAAGGGUUUCAUCCUUUCUUCUCUCACUUCAUUUAAUCCAAAUGAGAAAUGUUUUGUUUAACUGGAGAGUUUCAGGAUUUUCUCUGCCCACAAAUGGACUGACCCCUUAAUAAUCGUAAUUUCUCUGUGUUACAUGGUAAGAAAGUCAGAAAGGAGAAAAAGAAGGAAAUCAAGAAGUGAUACUAUUGAAGUGAAAUUUACACACUCAUAAAAAAUUAAGUGGCUAUUGUAGUUUAAUUCACAUGAGCAUGGUCCAUACUUAGUUUAUUCCUCCUCUGAUGGUCACAUGGUAUCUACAAAGAACUUACUGACAUGGAAUCUUAGUUGAAAUGCUAAAAAUCAGUUUCAUUAUAAGUUUUCAGUUUCCUUCUCUGUUAAAAAUAUAAAACAUAUUAAGACAUUUCUUCCUUAUAGGUCUUAGAUUUUUAAAAAGCCCUCUGGUGGCCUCCAGUUUAUUUAUAUACUAGCAGCUGCAGUCAUGACAUCAAGAUGCAAUAAAACUAUCUCUCAGUAAUGCAGGCACCUGUUGUUAAAGAAAGAAAUCUAGGACAGACAGGCAGAGGCUGCUGGAUCCUAAGUGAUGGGGGGUUGGGGGAUCACCCUGAGAAAGUAGAUGUAUUUUCAUAGCAGCAGGCCAGAGGUUCAGGCAUCAGUGGCUGAAUGGCCCCUAUUUUGUCCCUUGUUUAGUUAAACUGACCUCUUUACUCACAUAUAGACAUAAAUCAGUGUCUAUGUGCAGUUCACAACAAAACUAUAAUGGAACCAAGUUUGUCUUCUCCCUUGUUUUUGAAGCUGUGAACCCUGUUGCAAAAGAUCCAGAAGCACACAGCACACCCUUGACAAAAAUCAGUGAUAGAUGGGGCAGUAGGAACUUUCAACACUGAGAUGAUCCAGGGCAAAUGCAAUCCAAUUGUUUGUUUAAAAUUGUUAAAAUUGUUUUUUUGUUUGUUUGUUUUAAAUAGCUGUCCCAAGUUAAGUAUCAAAUAGGCUCAUUGACGGUUUUGGUCUUUAAAAUACCCUAUCCGACAGGCAAAGCAGAGAUUACGUUGAAGCAGUUGAGGAUACUAAGGGUCGCAUAGGUUGAGUGAUUUGCCCAAGGUCACAUACCACAAAGCUGGUCCAGGAUAAACAUGGAGCUCUUGGAACAACGCUGAGUUACCUGAGCACACACACAGUUGAGUUAGAAUUAUGACUUUGUCACAUUUUUUUCUCUCUGAAACUUGGUCUCCUGGUCUAUACAUGGUUUGAUGUGGGAUCACAUGUGAUAACAUACAUCUGACACAACCAACAAUGACAUGAAUGGUACACUCAGUACUCAGAUCCUGUUCCUAGACUCUUUUUGUAUGAACUCAAACUAAAACAACAUUCUGUGGUUUGUAAAAAUUGGCAAAAUAUGUAUUAUUCAAUAAAUGCAGUUUUCUACUGAGCAUUUUUCUUUCAAAAGAUGAUAUGCAUGGGAGUUCCCGUCAUGGCUCAGUGGUCGACGAACCUGACUAGGAACCAUGAGGUUGAGGGUUCAAUCCCUGGCCUUGCUCAGUGGGUUAAGGAUCUGGGGUUGCCAUGAGCUGUGGUGUAGGUCACAGACGUGGCUCGGAUCCCACGUUGCUAUGGCUUUGGCGCCGGUGGCUACAGCUCCGAUUCAACCCCUAGCCUGGGAACCUCAAUAUGCUGCGGGAGUGGCCCAAGAAAUGGCAAAAAGAAAAAGAUGAUAUGCAUGAACAUAAAAGGAAUGUAAGGAUGUAUCAAUAUUAGAGUCAGUUUUUAAGGAUUAAUUCUUUUUCAUGGAAAAGCACGGACUUCAACAAAAGGAACCAAAGACAAAAUCAGUUGAUGCUGAAAUUUGAUCCUUCUCUGAGAUCUUCCUUGAAAAGAAAUUCGAGCAAGUAAUUGAUUGAUUAAAGGUUCAAGUCUUCUAACUAUUUGAUAUCACAAACCCAGCACAGUGAAAGAGGCCAGAUACUCCUUCUUUACCACUGCUUUCUGCCACUUCCCUUCCAUACAUCUAUUGCCCUUGCUAAGUAUGUAAUAAAUACCUCUGAUGUUUGAUAUAGAUGUGCAGAGCUUCUGGUGAAAACAGAGAAAGAGGAAAGCAGCUUAUACUGAUGUAAUUGGUGCAAACCUUGGAUUGGAUCACAGUGUUCUCAGAUGGUUGUAAAUGAUGAAGCACUGAUUUUGUUGUUAGUUUUUUUUUUUUUUUUCUUUAAAUUCCUCUAUAGUUUACUGGAAUUUAAGUCAAUAUAAUGAGCAUCCUGUAAAUGACAAAAUUUUAAGAGAAACCAGUAGUACGCUGGAUUCUAAGAACAAAUUCCUAUGAGGACAGACAGUUAACAAACCACUAUAGAUAUAUGAACAAGUCUUGCGUUGAAGAGCAGAAGGUCAUUGUGAAUAUUCACUUUCUCUUGAAGGUUGCCUGUUUAGUCUACAGAUAGCAGAACGAAAUGAGUCACUCACAGACAGAAAAUAUAAGAUUGGUCGGCCCCUAAAGGUCAUCCUGUUCAGGCAUCCCAAGUGAGGCUGUUCUCACUUUCCAACCCUAAUUGAUUGGUGGUGGCUGUCAGACUGGCACGUUCAGAAGGAUAGGGCUUUGCACAGAAACAGGAGAAAACUAACUGGGAUGGAUUAAUAAUAUUUGUGGUGGCCUGAUUAGGAAGAAUAUCGGUUUAUGUAAAAUACUUGUUUCAGCCUCCACUUCUAAAAGUAAUUAAUUUUUACAAUGUUGGGAUUUAUAAUGAGAAAAUAGUUAACAAAUUUUAAGUUAAAGUAAAAACAGCUAGAUUAGGAUCAAUCUAAUGGCUCUAAAAUUUCUGAGUAUGGUUUGUCAAAGACACCUUGGACAUCUUUUUUUAAAAUUGAUCUCUAAUGUAUAUAGCAUAAAAUACCAUAAUCUUAAGCAUACUGCUUGAUGAGUUUUACACAUGUUAACACCUUGAUCAUCUUGAUUGAAGCACCCCAGGAGUUCCCUCAAACCCCUUCCCAGUCAAUAACUGCAGAGGUAACUACCAUUCUGACUUCUAUAACCACUGACUGGUUGUGUAUGUUCUUAAACUGCAUAGAAAUGGAAUCAUAGUAUGUACUUGGACAUCUUUUUAUCAAUGUAGUUUUGUUAUUUGCCUUUGUUGGUAGCUGAUUAUUCUAAGUAAGUUGAUAGAGAGCUUAUUAUCUUACAAAUGGAAAAGAAUUCUACUUUACAAAAGAAAUAGUUAUGGAGAAAAUGAUGUAUUAGAUCCUAUUUAAAUCUAUAAUAAUUCAAUGAGGUAUCUCUUUAAGACAGGGCUGAACUAGUACCUGUACCUUGAAAUGGUUUUCUAGAAAAAACACAUCCUUUGAAAAACACUCUAUAUAAAUAACUAGAAAUGUUAGAUAAAAUACAACAAACAGCCUUUAAAAUUCACAAAUGAUCUCAAUAAGCCUCCAAAGAAAAUUGCCAAGGAUCAGGAAGAAUAAAGAAAACCGAAAACUGAAAAAGUAAUUUUGUAAUCUACAUCUGCAGCUUCCCUGCUCUCAGGGGAUAAGAGGAAACCACAAUCCACAGUCAGGAUGAGAAGACAGCUAACUACGCCCUUUCCAGGUGUGGUCUUGGUAUUGAGACUUUCCCCUGAAGCAGGAUACAGCAAAAUGGUCCAUGUGCCCCAAAGUACAGACUAGGAAAAAAAAAAAAAAAAAAAA
rnacentral:lncRNA from 1 species